AUGAACGCUGGCGGCGUGCCUAAUACAUGCCAGUCGAGCGAACGGACGAGAAGCUUGCUUCUCUGAUGUUAGCGGCGGACGGGUGAGUAACACGUGGAUAACCUACCUAUAAGACUGGGAUAACUUCGGGAAACCGGAGCUAAUACCGGAUAAUAUUUUGAACCGCAUGGUUCAAAAGUGAAAGACGGUCUUGCUGUCACUUAUAGAUGGAUCCGCGCUGCAUUAGCUAGUUGGUAAGGUAACGGCUUACCAAGGCAACGAUGCAUAGCCGACCUGAGAGGGUGAUCGGCCACACUGGAACUGAGACACGGUCCAGACUCCUACGGGAGGCAGCAGUAGGGAAUCUUCCGCAAUGGGCGAAAGCCUGACGGAGCAACGCCGCGUGAGUGAUGAAGGUCUUCGGAUCGUAAAACUCUGUUAUUAGGGAGGAACAUAUGUGUAAGUAACUGUGCACAUCUUGACGGUACCUAAUCAGAAAGCCACGGCUAACUACGUG
rnacentral:rRNA from 1 species